rnacentral:piRNA from 1 species
UCUGCUUUGAUAAGUAAAAUAUUCACCUCAGU